rnacentral:lncRNA from 1 species
CAAAAUAAAAUAAAUUGAAUUUAAAUAAAAUAAAUAAAACAAAUAAAGUAAAUAAAUCCAAGGGGAGUCAAAGGAAUUGGGGUGGUGAGAAUAAAAGGGAAUUAGGAUAUAAAUGGCCCAAAACUCUCCACACACCCCAAAUAGAGGCGUGUGAAGAGUAAAUGGAGGAUGUUAUAGGGUCCAAUUGGCCCAAGGUUAGACAACCUUAAUUAAACUUUUAAAAUAAACCAAAAUGAUAUUUACAAAAUAAAUAAAAAUGAAAAAAAAAAAGUAAACCAAAAUUAUAAACAGAAAAAGAAAAGGAAAUACUAAUAAACAAACAUGAACGCAGAGAGAGAAUCAUUAUCAUCUUCUUCUCCAAACAUACAUACACCAUUUUCUUCUUUCAAUUUCCUUCGAAACACAAAACUCCAUGGAGGAUCUAUGAGGUGGAGUGAUUCGUGCUAUCGUCGGUGGAUCUUCCUCUUCACUCUUUUUAUCUAUUUAUGGUGUGUGUUGUUGUUAAGUGGAGGAUGAUUGUUUGGGAUAUGAUGUGAUCAUGUGUGCUUUGCAACUUACGUGCUUUGCAAGAUGUGUGUGUGUAUGUGUGUGUGAGAGAGAUGUUUUUUGUGUCUAUUAUGUGAAAAUUGUACACCUAUUUAUACUAAUUUGCAGGUUAGCAUAAAAGGAAAACAAG